rnacentral:rRNA from 1 species
UACGUAGGGGGCAAGCGUUGUCCGGAAUCAUUGGGCGUAAAGCGCGUGUAGGCGGCUGGGUAAGUCCGCUCUGAAAGCCCGGGGCUCAACCCCGGGAGGCGGGUGGAUACUGCUCAGCUCGAGUCCGGAAGAGGAGUGUGGAAUUCCUGGUGUAGCGGUGAAAUGCGCAGAUAUCAGGAGGAACGCCAAUGGCGAAGGCAGCACUCUGGGACGGUACUGACGCUGAGACGCGAAAGCGUGGGGAGCAAACAGG